rnacentral:piRNA from 1 species
UGAGAGACAGAAGUUGGAAGGCUAGC